ACUCUUCAACCCACCAAUUCCUUGUGAACUGGCUGGUGUUUGGAUUCUGAGCGUUGCUGGUCUGGCCUCUAGUGGGCCGAGACGAAGCUCGUUCGUAAUAUAUUAGCAACUCAAUUUCGAACAUUCGGAUUGACUCGGCGUAAUAGACUAUUCGCUGAGGACACUAGCUUGUCUAGUGGCCGAAUUUUGAGGUAGAAGCUUCUAACUCGUAUUUGAAGUCAAAUUCUUUAAG
rnacentral:misc_RNA from 1 species